rnacentral:lncRNA from 1 species
AAACUGGCAUCCAUGGCCGAUGUCCUCGAUCCUAAUUAAACUGAUACGACUCCACAUCAAAGCAAGCAGAUAACCCGUGGAUACCCCCGCCUGAUCCGGGGUCCUUGCAGGUACUCGGAAGUAAUGCGCAAAGAAUUACAGAGAAGCGCGCGCGGUGUAAUUAGUGAGUGCUUUUUGUGUUUAUGUUUCGUGUCACGUGUAGCAGCCAAGCGCGGUACAUCCGACAAAUAUCACAGUCUUACGAGUGCGCUUCAACACGCGGCAUAGUUAAACAUUUCGUCCGUUCCUGAUUAUUGUGUUCCAAAACUAAAAAAUUCCGGUCGUGAAAAUGAACUUCUAUCGUAGGCCUACGUUCUUCCUCGCUCUCUCUCUCAUCGUUGCGUUGAUCGCGACCGAGACAUCCGCAUCUCCAGCGCCUGAUGGUGUCAUCGACAAGAUUAAAGGCUUCUUCUCUCAUCCCAAGGAUACUGCAGAUCAAGCUGCGGACAGCGCCAAGGAAACUUAUGAUGACGCGAAAGACGGAGUCAAACAUGGGUGGGAUGUGACCAAGCAGAAAGUCGGAGAAGGGUGGGAUGCAACCAAGGAGAAAGUCGGAGAAGGGUGGGAUGCAACCAAAGAGAAAGUCGGAGAUGGGUGGGAUGCAACCAAGGAGAAAGUCGCAGACGGGUGGGAUGCGACUAAGGAUAAAGUCGGAGAAUGGGUGCAAAAGGGAAAGGACGCUUUGAAGCAUGACAAGUAAAAGGGUUUCGUGACAUGAAUAUAACUAGAGUACCUGUAUAGCGAGAGUAUGGACAGAUAUGAAACUUCGAAAAUCCAUCAGGCCUUCACCGAUGCUUCUACGAAAAAAGUUAGAGCCCAGAAACGCAGCCAACCUAUGAAUUUCAAUUAUCCAGAGCGAUUUACUAAUACUAUUGUUAAGAACCGUCGUUUAUUAAGCACGUGUUUGACUCACUUUUUGCAUAAAUGUACUCAAUUUCGCGGAAGAACGCUCAUUUCUGUACAUUCUUGGCCAUCUUGGUUAGAAUAGGAAUCUACAGACUGGCAGUAAAGUUUUGUGCGUUAGAAGUUGGUUAGAAGGGUGGCUGCACUUUUGGGCCCUAAGCCCUCCAUAAAGCGAUCUGUCCAUACUCUCGCUAUACAGGUACUCUAAAUAAGUAUAACACUCAGUCAAUCGCUUUUUUACACUGUUACAAAUAACAUCCUACUCUUGCAAAACGUGAUCAAGUCAACUCCUACUUAACUAUCGAGUUAAAUUUGCCUAUAUUUCGAUUUAUUUGACUCUCGCUGACUCUUCAUUUCUUUCAAUUUUAACUUAUAAUCAUGUAUUUUUUAACUUGAUUAACUUUUAACCCCUCAGGGGUUGUGGGAGGACCAGGUGCUGUAGCGUUAGGCGUCGCACAGCGCCAGAGAACGCUGUAAAAGCGACUAUUAUGUAACUUAAUUGCUUAAAGAGGCCUCCGAGUUGGUCUCAAUUUGACUCGACUCAUAAUCAACAUGGGAACAUAUUCUUUUGAAUACUGUAAUCUUGAACUUACCGUUCAGUAAUCCGAUUUUGGUUAUCUAUCUAACCCUACACUCAGGAAAAAUGUUUACGUACUAUGUCGUUGAAUGGAAAGGAGCCUCCAAUGAAUAAUCCCACCAAAGGUAUUACGCUGUUUCAAGAGUAAUAUCAUCUGUUUAAAGUAAAACGAUAUCCAGCUGAUUUUGGACUACAUUUUGCAAUCAGGAACUAUAAAUUCCAGCCCGGUUUAAAAACAACGUAUGUGCCUUUAGUGUCCCUAUACACAUAAGUGUUUUUACAUAUGAGCCAGAAAUUAUAGUUCCAAAUUGAAAAAUGUAGUCUAAUUUGUCUUCGAGAAGUAUUAAAAGUCAUCUUGAUCUUUUUAUUUUCUCAGCGUCUCAACGAAACAUUUGUAUCAGAGAACAUCUAGUCGAGUCAACUUCCCAGUGGAAAAUAAAGUGGACUGCAUUUUGCAAUUUGGAACUAUAAAUUCUGGUUCUUCUGGAAAAAACACUUAUGUGCAUAGGGAAACUAAUGCCACAUACGUCGUUUUUAAACCGGGCUAGAAUGUAUAGUUCCAAAUUGCGAAAUGUAGUCCAAUUCAUCUAUGUGUUGAGAAUCAUUUUUGCGAUUCUCUGAAUUUGCUCAGGUUUUGUUUUAUUUGAUUGUACAUUGUACCGUUUAAUUAUUUAUUUAUUUAUUCAAUGAAGUAAAGAAAAUUUUUGUUCUUAACACUAUUGUUUAAGUCUUGCGUGUUUUCCUUACCCUUAAAAAAACAAAAAAGGCUAUUUCAUUUAAAUUAUGGAAUCAAUUUUUCAACUUGAUACCUAGUUGAACGGGUAAAUUUACUAAUUGUUUCAUUCAAUAUUUCAGCCUUUACUUGUUGCCGAUGACAAUUUCGAUUUAAGCAAUUCCGUUUAUUUUCUGUGUUUUUUACUUGAAACUUAUUCUCAAGAUCCACAAGUGGGAUCUGUUUUUAAAACAAUGGACCAACUCCAUUUGACAAACAAGGUUCACGCACGGACAGCUAAUGGUUUUUUUUUUUUUUUUUUUUUUUUUUAUUAUAUCCAGUACAGAAAGCUAAUGGUGUCUUCAGUUAAGGCGGUAAAUUACUUUUUAGGGAUGCAAAAUACGAACUCACAGAAGGGUGACACUCGCUCUUCAGGAGUUAACAUAGUAAUUUAUGAAAAUCGAUGUAAAACCGAUUUGAUAGUUGGCUGAUCGGUUGAGAGACCUUGAAUUUGAAGACAUUAUUUUUGUCCAAAUUAUUCUGCGCUACAUCUGAUGACCAUUAAACUUACGAACGAGCCAACCUCUGAUUUUUCUAUUACUAUUUCUUCACUGCAAAUUUUCGUCCAAUUUAAGUUCAGUGCUCCGUGGGGGUCAAGUAAACAGCCACUUUGUUUUUCAAAAAACGUCUUCUCGACUCAUGACAAGAGUUCGUUCGAUGCCAAUCGGGGGAUAUCACAAGAAGGUUGACACACCUCAACCAUGAUACAAAAGCCGGCAUUUAUGAGUUUCUCACAGCAUCUGCGUGCGAUCUAAUUUCUCGUCUGCCCAAAAUAUAACAGAGCAUGAGAAGCUUAAAAGAAACAUGUGUAUUCUUCACUGAAGAACUUCACCCGAAUUGCAUUCUUGGCAACAGAGGAGUCAGAAUUUUGGAACAUGAUUUUUUUUUAGAACUGACAGAGAUGCGCACAUUACCAGUUAACGGAUUUCACAAAAAAAUUAAGACGAAUGGUAAAAAUGUGUGCAUUGACAAUGAGACGGCAAACGUGCAAUGAAGCGAUUCGGUUCCUCAAAAUUCAUGUUGUAAAGUUUGCAGACUUUUGCUACAGCAAAAUUAAGAGCUGUGACUUAUGGAAAAUGUCUCAAAAAUCACGACGAGCACAUUGGCAAAGUGUGAAGUGCACUCCAAACUUCACAACCUGCGUAAGAAAUUUGCGUUUUCUUAGCAUCCGCUUCAAAACGA